UAGCCUAGUGGUUAAAGCUAUGGAUCGCGAAUCCGGAGACGGCGGGUUCGAUUCCCGU
rfam:Aedes albopictus isolate Foshan contig85434, whole genome shotgun sequence.